GAUGAACGCUGGCGGCGUGCCUAAUACAUGCAAGUCGAGCGAACAGACGAGGAGCUUGCUCCUCUGACGUUAGCGGCGGACGGGUGAGUAACACGUGGAUAACCUACCUAUAAGACUGGGAUAACUUCGGGAAACCGGAGCUAAUACCGGAUAAUAUAUUGAACCGCAUGGUUCAAUAGUGAAAGACGGUUUUGCUGUCAAUUAUAGAUGGAUCCGCGCCGCAUUAGCUAGUUGGUAAGGUAACGGCUUACCAAGGCAACGAUGCGUAGCCGACCUGAGAGGUUGAUCGGCCACACUGGAACUGAGACACGGUCCAGACUCCUACGGGAGGCAGCAGUAGGGAAUCUUCCGCAAUGGGCGAAAGCCUGACGGAGCAACGCCGCGUGAGUGAUGAAGGUCUUCGGAUCGUAAAACUCUGUUAUUAGGGAAGAACAAAUGUGUAAGUAACUAUGCACGUCUUGACGGUACCUAAUCAGAAAGCCACGGCUAACUACGUG
rnacentral:rRNA from 1 species